UUUUGUAGAAUGAUCGGGGUGUUGAGGACGUAGGGUGAGGUUAAGUCGAAAAGACGGAGCCGUAGCGAAAGCGCGUCUGAAUAGGGCGUAUAGUACGAGGUAGUAGACCCGAAACCAGGUGAUAUACCCAUGUCCAGGGUGAAGGUAGGUUAAUACCUACUGGAGGCCCGAAACCACGCACGUUGAAAAGUGCGGGGAUGAGGUGUGGGUAGGGGUGAAAUGCCAAUCGAACUUGUAGAUAGCUGGUUCUCCCCGAAAUAGCUUUAGGGCUAGCCUCGAGUUGAGAGUCUUGUAGGUAGAGCACUGAUUGGGCUAGGGGCCCUCAUCGUGUUACCGAACUCAGUCAAACUCCGAAUGCCAAUGACUUAUACUCGGGAGUCAGACUACGCGUGAUAAGAUCCGUGGUCAAGAGGGAAACAGCCCAGAUCACCAG
rnacentral:rRNA from 1 species